AGCGAACGCUGGCGGCAGGCCUAACACAUGCAAGUCGAACGGACCCUUCGGGGUUAGUGGCGGACGGGUGAGUAACACGUGGGAACGUGCCUUUAGGUUCGGAAUAUCUCCUGGAAACGGGUGGUAAUGCCGAAUGUGCCCUUCGGGGGAAAGAUUUAUCGCCUUUAGAGCGGCCCGCGUCUGAUUAGCUAGUUGGUGAGGUAACGGCUCACCAAGGCGACGAUCAGUAGCUGGUCUGAGAGGAUGACCAGCCACACUGGGACUGAGACACGGCCCAGACUCCUACGGGAGGCAGCAGUGGGGAAUCUUGCGCAAUGGGCGAAAGCCUGACGCAGCCAUGCCGCGUGAAUGAUGAAGGUCUUAGGAUUGUAAAAUUCUUUCACCGGGGACGAUAAUGACGGUACCCGGAGAAGAAGCCCCGGCUAACUUCGUG
rnacentral:rRNA from 1 species